rnacentral:rRNA from 1 species
UGCCUACGGGAGGCAGCAGUGAGGAAUAUUGGUCAAUGGGCGGAAGCCUGAACCAGCCAAGUCGCGUGAGGGAAGAAGGCCCUGCGGGUCGCAGACCUCUUUGGACGGGGAGCAAGGCCGCCGACGUGUCGGCGGAAGGAGAGUACCCGUAGAACAAGCAUCGGCUAACUCCGUGCCAGCAGCCGCGGUAAUACGGAGGAUGCGAGCGUUAUCCGGAUUCAUUGGGUUUAAAGGGUGCGCAGGCGGGCCUUUAAGCCGGCGGUGGAAUCGCGGGG